AUUUACAGCUUUUAACAAUUGAGUAAACUAUAUUCCUGUAAACAAAAUUUGAAGCAUAUUUGUUUCUGUCUACCUGAUUUCUCCAGAAUUUGGAAACUGAGUAUUCUUAACUUACGUCAAUAUAGUUAUUUGCAUAAGUGCAGUGAGAAUCUGUUUUCUUUUGCAACAGGGCACAAUUGGAGAAAUUUUACCAAGGCUUUGUAAAGCUGUGCUAACUGAAAUUGUACUUUCCAUUAAGGAAUCAUAUUUGACUUAUAAAUCCAACAAAAGUCCUUUGGGAAAACUGGCCUCAUACCUGCUCUAUACAGUCCCUGUACAGUGUUCCUGACCUGUGGUAAGUAAAGAAUAUCACUUUUUUUACAGGCCCAGGAGCCCCAACUUAUCUUGAAACCUCAAGAGGAAAGGAAUUUACCCAACUUAUACAGAAUUUUGAUCAGCACAUUAUCCAGAGACUUAGUAUUUUAUCCAUUGCCUUGUGGUCCUACAUAAAAUUGUGUCAGACCAGAUAAACUAUUUCACAGCAAAGGAGGUGUGGAAAUGGGCCCAUUACUGUGAGAGCUAUUGCUAAUAUUAAAUGCCAUGUUGUUCCAAGUUGCUGGUCUGAGAGAGCAUUGAAACGGCCUGUUGAAGAAAAAGAGGCCUGCAGCAAUCAUGGAGAGGCUGUCCUUCAAAUGUUUAUGGAAAAGUCAGUAGAAGAGACAUCAUGGUGAAUGAUGGUAGACAUAGAGAUACAUCAUGCAGAUACUACCUUCUCUCUUAGCUCAUUUGAUGAGCUGAGAUCUUGAUGCCCAGCUGUGGUAAUUACAGUCAGCAGGCAGUCUCCAGACAUCAGUUCCUUCAGGACUUCCCUUAGUUGCCCAAAGCUGUUUCACUCCAGGUCACAACAUUCCUUUGGAAGCCCACAACUGAUGACUGAAGGCUAGAUAUCUAAGGCCUGGCCAUUUUAGCCUGGCAUCGAACACCCUGACAGGUAAGAGAUGCCAUUCACCUCUUUUUUGCUUCCUGAGACAACUUGCAUUACUUUCUUGGCAAACAUUUAGAACACCUGCACAUAAACCACAGUACCUAGGUAUAUCACCAGUGAGGGCUGUGGAACAGCAAAGAUGCCAGCCUGAUGGUUUCUGUGGAAGCCCUGUCCCAGGUGGGUACUGACCUGUUGCUAGCCUGAAUGCUCCUAUAAAAAGUUACAGAGAGCCCAGUUGGGAAGUCUCACUCAGGAGGAGUGGGAUCAUGGAACUGCUUAAAGAAGCAAUCCAGCUGUGUUUUGGUUGAGAAACUGUGCUGUAUUGGGGAUCCCUUCAGCCUCCUACUAGUUUGGGCUCUCUAAGACCUGCAGGCUGGGUUGGCUGAGAUGCCCAAACAGCAAAGAUGGUGGCCUGCCUUGCCCCUCCAUGCACUCUAUUACAGGGAGGAAUUAGAGCU
rnacentral:lncRNA from 13 species